GUAGCUCAGUCGGAUAGAGCAUCUGCCUUCUAAGCAGAGGGUCACAGGUUCGAUUCCUGUC
rnacentral:tRNA from 1 species